UUUUAAUAGCUUAUCGAAGAGCGUGAUAUUGAAGAUAUCAAGGAAGUUUUUUUACUUUAAAAUAU
rnacentral:tRNA from 2 species